rnacentral:misc_RNA from 1 species
GAUGAAGAACGCAGCGAACUGCGAUAAGUAAUGUGAAUUGCAGAAUUCAGUGAAUCAUCGAGUCUUUGAACGCACAUUGCGCCCCCUGGUAUUCCGGGGGGCAUGCCUGUCCGAGCGUCAUUGCUGCCCUCAAGCACGGCUUGUGUGUUGGGCCCCGCCCCCCGGUCUCGGGGGGCGGACCCGAAAGGCAGCGGCGGCACCGCGUCCGGUCCUCGAGCGUAUGGGGCUUCGUCACCCGCUCUGUAGGCCCGGCCGGCGCCCGCCGGCGACCCCAAUCAAUCUAUCCAGGUUGACCUCGGAUCAGGUAGGGAUACCCGCUGAACUUAAGCAUAUCAAUAAGCGGAGGA